AGGCAACCCACUGCAAGCCAUGGAAGAAAGCAAACCUGCUGACACUUUGAUCUUGAGCUUGAAUCCUCCAGAAUGGAUGAGUGGUAUCUGGUGGGAGAAGCAGCAAAGGAGAAAGGACUUAUAGAGUGCCUACAUAAAUUGGUUAUGAGUAGCAUAUAAAGAAGGAACAACAAAUUGUGGAAGGCCGCAGGAGGCCUCUGAGGAGGAAGGCCUCUUCAUGCCUCAUGUUCUGGUUCAGGGUGACCUCCGCUCUGUUAUCGUAAACAUUGUGCUCAAGGAUGUAAAACUACUUUAUAGCACUAUGAUGUAGCCAGACUUGUAGGCUCCUUGUAAGGCCCAUGUUCCACUAGCUGCAUGUAGAUAACAGGCUAAAGAUAACUACAUGUUCUUGUUUUGUGAAACCCCAAACUGCCACUGUUAUCUAUCUUUAGAAUGACAUACCAGUUCCAGCUGACUGAUUCAGUUCUGGCUCACUAAUUCAUCCCACCAUCAUGUCACCCCUCCCCACCCUCACUCCACCCCUGCCCUGUAGAUCAAAGUGAUUAUAACCAAUAAAUAGUGUGAGAAGUCAGAGCUCGGGGCCUUCACUGUCUCCUCCAGUAAUAAGCGAUGGCCCCAUGGUCCCACUUUCUCUCUUAAUCUGUUUUGUUCUCA
rnacentral:lncRNA from 1 species